rnacentral:lncRNA from 1 species
AUGGAAGAUUGCAAAGAGAAGGGGAUUUUGGUCUCAGCUGCUGCAGUUUGGCUCACUAGUCUCAAUCUGAACCUUGCUGAAGAAGUUAAAGCCAACCGAACCCUAAAGUACUGGGAGGAAGUGUCAAAACUCUUCCCAGAUCACCCCUGGCUCGUGGCAGUGGCCCCAGCUCCCAGACACGGCCAUGCAAUUUGGAGGAAGGCAUUUACAUCCAGCCAGCACAGGUUUGCAAGUGCUGUUGACGGGAAGAAAGGAAAUGGGGUAAAGCUGCUGCCAGCAACCACAGGCUCCCAGGCUCCUGCGAUACGGCCUUGCGCUCAUCUGGCUCCACCGGCCUGGAUGCUUCCCGGGCAGGAUUUCUGUGCAGCCUCAGUGAUUUCUUUAUUCAAGCUAUUGAUAUUGGAUUCCCAGCCCAGGGACACUUCCAAAGCCAUAAAUCUGCUGUGUUGCUCUACCUGGUGUUCUUGUUUUCACUACAAGGCUUCCAGACCUGCUGGAGAUCGCGGCUUCUGUGCGUGCUUGUGCCGCCAGCUGUCCCAGCCACGGCAAGCACGGCGCUCUCAGCCAUGCUGUCCCCUCCUCGGCCACUGCGGCAGAUCAAUGAUACACCCCAGUAGGCCAGCCUGAGCAGGAUCCAUGCUGUGGGGCAGUGCCACAGAGCCGUGCCGUGCAACACAGUGUGUUGGUACAGCCAGCAGGCAGGUUGCUCACCACCGGGCACCGCUGGUCGCUGUUUACCAGUGUCACACCGGGAGAGGAAGACUUGGCCAAGGGCUUCGAUGCUGGCAGCGCUCCCUGUUCCCCACCUGCCCUGAGGGCAUGUCAGGCAGAGACUGAGCAGCCACCAACUCAGGCAGGACAAGGCCAUGGCUCUGGGGAGAGCCCCGUGGGUCCUCUGCUGGCCCCACUGGUGGUCCCGGAGCCUUUGGGCCCAUUGGGCAGGACUUGGCAUCCCAUAAGGUGCCAAAGCAGGACCAAGGAGGGUGUCAGGGCAGGGGGAAGAGAGGACCUCAGGAUGCCACUGCAUGGUGCGGGGCAGAGGUGAGGGAUGGCUGCUCCUCUGUGUUAAAAGGAGCCCCUUGACUCUGAAAAUCCACAUGUUGCUCUUGGCUGGGUCACGGCACCUUCUG